GACGAACGCUGGCGGCGUGCCUAAUACAUGCAAGUAGAACGCACAGUUUAUACCGUAGCUUGCUACACCAUAGACUGUGAGUUGCGAACGGGUGAGUAACGCGUAGGUAACCUGCCUGGUAGCGGGGGAUAACUAUUGGAAACGAUAGCUAAUACCGCAUAAUAUUGAUUAUUGCAUGAUAAUUGAUUGAAAGAUGCUAUUGCAUCACUACCAGAUGGACCUGCGUUGUAUUAGCUAGUAGGUGAGGUAACGGCUCACCUAGGCGACGAUACAUAGCCGACCUGAGAGGGUGAUCGGCCACACUGGGACGGAGACACGGCCCAGACGCCUACGGGAGGCAGCAGUAGGGAAUCUUCGGCAAUGGACGAAAGUCUGACCGAGCAACGCCGCGUGAGUGAAGAAGGUUGUCGGAUCGUAAAGCUCUGUUGUAAGAGAAGAACGGGUGUGAGAGUGGAAAGUUCACACUGUGACGGUAUCUUACCAGAAAGGGACGGCUAACUACGUG
rnacentral:rRNA from 1 species